rnacentral:rRNA from 2 species
AAAGAAAGCGUAAUAGCUCACUGGUCGAGUCGGCCUGCGCGGAAGAUGUAACGGGGCUAAACCAUGCACCGAAGCUGCGGCAGCGACGCUUAUGCGUUGUUGGGUAGGGGAGCGUUCUGUAAGCCUGUGAAGGUGUGCUGUGAGGCAUGCUGGAGGUAUCAGAAGUGCGAAUGCUGACAUAAGUAACGAUAAAGCGGGUGAAAAGCCCGCUCGCCGGAAGACCAAGGGUUCCUGUCCAACGUUAAUCGGGGCAGG